CAGCACCCCAAUUGGUCAGGAUGAUUAUUGGGCCUAAAGCAUCCGUAGCCGGCGGUGUAAGUUUUCGGUUAAAUCUGUACGCUCAACGUACAGGCUGCCGGGAAUACUGCAGCGCUAGGGAGUGGGAGAGGUAGACGGUACUCGGUAGGAAGGGGUAAAAUCCUUUGAUCUAUUGAUGACCACCUGUGGCGAAGGCGGUCUACCAGAACACGUCCGACGGUGAGGGAUGAAAGCUGGGGGAGCAAACCGGAUUAGUUACCCGAGUAGUCC
rnacentral:rRNA from 1 species